ensembl:snRNA U2 U2 spliceosomal RNA
AUCUCUUCUCAGCCUUUUGGCUAAGAUCAAGUGUAGUAUCUGUUCUUAUCAGUUUAACAUCUGAUACGUCCUCUAUCAAAUCAAUUUGCUUCGGACAAAGAUCACAAAGAGCACAUAUUUUUCAGGCAUCCUUUGUCAUAUGUGACCUUUCUCUGGAGUGGGGCUUAAGGGAGACAUUAU